GAUGAACGCUGGCGGUAUGCUUAACACAUGCAAGUCGAACGGUCUCUUCGGAGAUAGUGGCGGACGGGUGAGGAACACGUGAGAAUCUGCCUUUAGGUCGGGGACAACAUUUGGAAACGAAUGCUAAUACCGGAUGAGCUGAAAAGUAAAAGAUUUAUCGCCUAAAGAGGAGCUCGCGUCUGAUUAGCUAGAUGGUGGGGUAAAAGCCUACCAUGGCGACGAUCAGUAGCUGGUCCGAGAGGAUGAGCAGCCACACUGGGACUGAGACACGGCCCAGACUCCUACGGGAGGCAGCAGUGGGGAAUUUUCCGCAAUGGGCGAAAGCCUGACGGAGCAAUACCGCGUGAGGGAGGAAGGCUCUUGGGUUGUAAACCUCAAAACUUAGGGAAGAAGAAAGUGACGGUACCUAAUAUAAGCAUCGGCUAACUCCGUGCCAGCAGCCGCCGUAAUAC
rnacentral:rRNA from 1 species